rnacentral:misc_RNA from 1 species
AAGUCGUAACAAGGUUUCCGUAGGUGAACCUGCGGAAGGAUCAUUACUGAAGUGAUUUGGGGGAUGUUGCUGGCCUCUGCUUUUUGGGGGGGCAAUGUGCACUUCCUUGAACAACCUCACAAUUUCCAUCACACCCUUGUGCACAUCUUGUAGGCACCCACACAAACCUCUCUUGGUUUGGGGUGUCCUAUGUAUCCCUUCACCUUCACACUUUUUGAAUGGUGCUCUUGAACGCAUCUCAUGGAUUAUUUGUAAAGUAAUCACAGAAACAACUUUCAACAAUGGAUCUCUUGGCUCUC